rnacentral:rRNA from 1 species
CCCUUAGAUGUCCUGGGCCGCACGCGCGUUACACUGAUGCAUUCAACGAGCUUAUAACCUUGGCCGAGAGGCCUGGGCAAUCUUGUUAACGUGCAUCGUGAUAGGGAUAGAUUAUUGAAAUUAUUAAUCUUGAACGAGGAAUUCCUAGUAAACGCAGAUCAUCAAUCUGCAUUGAUUACGUCCCUGCCCUUUGUACACACCGCCCGUCGCACCUACCGAUUGGAUGGUCCGGUGAAGCCUCGGGAUUGUGGUUCUUGCCGCUUUAUUGUGGCGUGACCGCGAGAACUUGUCUAAACCUUAUCAUCUAGAGGAAGGUGAAGUCGAAACA